rnacentral:rRNA from 1 species
UACGGAGGGUGCAAGCGUUAAUCGGAUUUAUUGGGCGUAAAGGGCGUGUAGGCGGGUAGAUAAGUCGGGCGUGAAAUCCCUAGGCUCAACCUAGGAACUGCACUCGAAACUGUUUAUCUUGAGUGCCGGAGAGGAAAGCGGAAUUCCUGGUGUAGAGGUGAAAUUCGUAGAUAUCAGGAGGAACACCAGUGGCGAAGGCGGCUUUCUGGACGGUAACUGACGCUGAGACGCGAAAGCGUGGGGAGCAAACAGG